AUGGUCUCCAUCUCCUGCCCUCGUGAUCCGCUCGCCUCGGCCUCCCAAACUGCUGGGAUGACAGAUGUGAGCCACGGCGCCCGGCCCCCAAUUCCUGAUGCAACACGGUGCAGUGGAGCUGAGGGCCCCACACAGAUGCGGCAGCAGCAGUGCUGGGUUCCAGGCCUGUCACAGAUGGUCCUGGACCUAAAGCUCCAGGAGGUUAGACCACAAGAAGGCAGAAGGCCUGCACACCACCACCAGUCAGCAAGUGAGGCUUCACAUGGAUGCAAAUAUCCAAAACACGCUUGGGCUGAAUCACACAGCAAGAGAGAAAUCUUAGUGAGGAUGAAAUGUUGUCACCGUCAGCCCAAGGGCAGGAACGUAGCCAGUGGCUAAAAGACAGAAACAUGAGCUUUGUCUGGGCUCUCCUGCCUGCAGUCCCUCCUUCUGCUCAUCCUUCCCUUCCUCUCUCACCCUCUCUCUAACCCAGCUCCCUCUUCCCGUCAGGCCUAUGCAAGAGCAGGUGCCCUGUGGUUCCCGAUCUCCUCUGGAGCCAGUCACCUGUAGAGGAUCAGGACUCUAGCUCCCGGAGCCUGCGGCAAGAGGCAGGUCAAGUCAGCGUCUGCUCCUCAUCCUACCAGCAGGCCCCGAGGAUGGAAGGGUGACGGAGGGGCCCAUUGUGAGCCUAAGGGGAAACCGAAAAGUCAGGAAAAGGUUUCCAUGACAAGCCGUUUUCUAGGAACUCUAACAAUGGGGAAAUAAUAUCAUCCAAACCUAGAAAAGAGAAGACAGGACUACAAGAAGAAAGGAACAAUGAUAAAUGAUACUACCCAAAGCUAGUAUCAUUCCGAGCUUAAAGAGCGAAUGAAACAGAAAAGGCAGCAGCUGCUAGCUGAGGACGCGGCCUGAUUUUAGGAGGUCAUGCCCUUAAUUGGACACAGGAGUUUGUUCAUGGGUUACCCCCCUUCCUGCACCUUCCGUGGUGGCAAACAUUUGGGUUUUACCACCACCAGAAGUUUCUCUAUCCAUCAAAAAUCACAAGACAGUCCACAGCACCCUACAGGCUCCCCAUCCUGCCCUGGGCCGGGAUAGUCCUGAAGUUCUUAUCAUGAACAAGAACCAGAAUGUUCCAGGACAGUUUGCAAACAGUAUCACUAAAAAAGAGGCUAGUGCCACAGAUGGUGGGUUAUGGUUAUAUGACAAUAAGGCAAGGGUAUAUCUGUGUAUUGUGAAUGUGUGUUAUGUGUAUAUGUGUGCAUACAUGUGCAUGUGUUGAUAUGAGUGUAUAUGUAUGCAUGUGUGUGUGGUGUCCAUGUAUAUGUGUACUGUUUGCACGUGUGUAUGUGUGUGCAGCUGUGUGCACAUGAGUUUUGCACAUAUGCGUGCAUGUGUGUGUGGGCAGGUGUGGGUAUAUGUAUACAUCUGUGUUGUGUAUGUGUAGGUGUGUGUGUGUGCAUGUGUUGACGUGUCUAUAUGUGUAGAGUGCAUGUG
rnacentral:lncRNA from 1 species